AGGUAAUCCAACUGGAAGGAGGGACACCAGUAAAAGGUCUGUGUUUUCAGGCCUAUAAGGACAACAGCUGCAAACAUGGACCCACUCCAACACUUAUGCAAUCCUACAGGGCAUUUGAUCGUUGUGAAUAAGCCACAGACUCAUAUUUUUCUACUCGUAUUACAAAAAUAGAUUGUGUACUUUUUUUUCCACAGAGGUUAAUAUUUCUUAGAACCUGGUACAUUUAUAUGCUAAUAUAGAAAUACUUGAAAUUAUAGAGCUCAUCGUUGAGAAUGACCUGUGCUUGUGGCUUGUUUUUAGCAUGUUUCCUAGAGUUUAGCAGAGAGAAACGGCCAUGCAUUCACGGACACAGUAUGGAUAUGACUAUGUGCCAAAUGACUGGACAUAGAAAAACAACAAAAACAAAGAUAUUUUGAUAAUAUUAGUUAAGGAAAUGACUGCCUUAUCGGGCAUUAAAUAGAUCUAUGAAAUUCACAGGUCGUUAUAGAUCUCGGAGAAGCUGUAUUUCUUGUGGUGUUCCACACCACAACUCUCCUGUUACCUACAGCUCGAUUACCUACCCAGGUCCAGUCCUGCUGGUCUGACACCCUGAAGAGUUUGGCUCCACCCCUAAUCUCACACACCUGCUUCCAAGGUGCUAAUGAAGGACUUGGCUAACUGGAUCAGUUCUGUUGGAACAGACUUGGAACCAAACUGUGCAGGGUAGAUCUCCAGGACCAAACACCGCUGACCUACACCAUGUAUAGAACUUGUAAAGCUGUGAGAUGUUUGAUUUCUGUGCCUGCUAGAUCUUACUGUGUGAUGCAGAUUAAACUCAUUCAUACAGGA